rnacentral:rRNA from 1 species
GGGGAAUAUUGCACAAUGGGGGAAACCCUGAUGCAGCAACGCCGCGUGGAGGAUGACGCAUUUCGGUGUGUAAACUCCUUUUAUAUGUCAAGAAAAUGANGNACGCAUAUGAAUAAGCACCGG